rnacentral:misc_RNA from 1 species
GUUUUUGUAUCCUUUUUGUUACUAACCAAUGUCUAAUCCAAUUGAUUACUGUCUCCUGUAAUUGGAUAUUGACACUUUUUUAUGAAAUGGUGAUUGGAGCAUCAUUUUGAGUUCAGGACUGGUAAUUUAGGAUAUAAUUGGGACAGAUUUCUUGCUGUAAUUUUAUGUAACUGAGUUCUUAAUGUAUUCCAAAAUGAUUAUGUUCUUCCUUUCAUUGACAAUAGAUAGGAUUAUUCCAUGCUAAAUGUAUGCUAGUUUAGGAUCAGUUAUUGUUCGUGGUCUGUUAUAUAUGUGGC